rnacentral:rRNA from 1 species
UGCUUGUUGGGGUUGUAGGACACUCUAUACGGAGUUACAAAGGACGACAUUAGACGAAUCAUCUGGAAAGAUGAAUCAAAGAAGGUAAUAAUCCUGUAGUCGAAAAUGUUGUCUCUCUUGAGUGGAUCCUGAGUACGACGGAGCACGUGAAAUUCCGUCGGAAUCUGGGAGGACCAUCUCCUAAGGCUAAAUACUCUCUAGUGACCGAUAGUGAACCAGUACCGUGAGGGAAAGGUGAAAAGCACCCCGGAAGGGGAGUGAAAUAGAACCUGAAACCGUGUGCUUACAAGUAGUCAGAGCCCGUUAAUGGGUGAUGGCGUGCCUUUUGUAGAAUGAACCGGCGAGUUACGAUUUGAUGCAAGGUUAAGCAGUAAAUGUGGAGCCGUAGCGAAAGCGAGUCUGAAUAGGGCGUUUAGUAUUUGGUCGUAGACCCGAAACCAGGUGAUCUACCCUUGGUCAGGUUGAAGUUCAGGUAACACUGAAUGGAGGACCGAACCGACUUACGUUGAAAAGUGAGCGGAUGAACUGAGGGUAGCGGAGAAAUUCCAAUCGAACCUGGAGAUAGCUGGUUCUCUCCGAAAUAGCUUUAGGGCUAGCCUCAAGUGAUGAUUAUUGGAGGUAGAGCACUGUUUGGACGAGGGGCCCCUCUCGGGUUACCGAAUUCAGACAAACUCCGAAUGCCAAUUAAUUUAACUUGGGAGUCAGAACAUGGGUGAUAAGGUCCGUGUUCGAAAGGGAAACAGCCCAGACCACCAGCUAAGGUCCCAAAAUAUAUGUUAAGUGGAAAAGGAUGUGGCGUUGCCCAGACAACUAGGAUGUUGGCUUAGAAGCAGCCAUCAUUUAAAGAGUGCGUAAUAGCUCACUAGUCGAGUGACACUGCGCCGAAAAUGUACCGGGGCUAAACAUAUUACCGAAGCUGUGGAUUGUCCUUUGGACAAUGGUAGGAGAGCGUUCUAAGGGCGUUGAAGCAUGAUCGUAAGGACAUGUGGAGCGCUUAGAAGUGAGAAUGCCGGUGUGAGUAGCGAAAGACGGGUGAGAAUCCCGUCCACCGAUUGACUAAGGUUUCCAGAGGAAGGCUCGUCCGCUCUGGGUUAGUCGGGUCCUAAGCUGAGGCCGACAGGCGUAGGCGAUGGAUAACAGGUUGAUAUUCCUGUACCACCUAUAAUCGUUUUAAUCGAUGGGGGGACGCAGUAGGAUAGGCGAAGCGUGCGAUUGGAUUGCACGUCUAAGCAGUAAGGCUGAGUAUUAGGCAAAUCCGGUACUCGUUAAGGCUGAGCUGUGAUGGGGAGAAGACAUUGUGUCUUCGAGUCGUUGAUUUCACACUGCCGAGAAAAGCCUCUAGAUAGAAAAUAGGUGCCCGUACCGCAAACCGACACAGGUAGUCAAGAUGAGAAUUCUAAGGUGAGCGAGCGAACUCUCGUUAAGGAACUCGGCAAAAUGACCCCGUAACUUCGGGAGAAGGGGUGCUCUUUAGGGUUAACGCCCAGAAGAGCCGCAGUGAAUAGGCCCAAGCGACUGUUUAUCAAAAACACAGGUCUCUGCUAAACCGUAAGGUGAUGUAUAGGGGCUGACGCCUGCCCGGUGCUGGAAGGUUAAGAGGAGUGGUUAGCUUCUGCGAAGCUACGAAUCGAAGCCCCAGUAAACGGCGGCCGUAACUAUAACGGUCCUAAGGUAGCGAAAUUCCUUGUCGGGUAAGUUCCGACCCGCACGAAAGGCGUAACGAUUUGGGCACUGUCUCAACGAGAGACUCGGUGAAAUCAUAGUACCUGUGAAGAUGCAGGUUACCCGCGACAGGACGGAAAGACCCCGUGGAGCUUUACUGUAGCCUGAUAUUGAAAUUCGGCACAGCUUGUACAGGAUAGGUAGGAGCCUUUGAAACGUGAGCGCUAGCUUACGUGGAGGCGCUGGUGGGAUACUACCCUAGCUGUGUUGGCUUUCUAACCCGCACCACUUAUCGUGGUGGGAGACAGUGUCAGGCGGGCAGUUUGACUGGGGCGGUCGCCUCCUAAAAGGUAACGGAGGCGCUCAAAGGUUCCCUCAGAAUGGUUGGAAAUCAUUCAUAGAGUGUAAAGGCAUAAGGGAGCUUGACUGCGAGACCUACAAGUCGAGCAGGGUCGAAAGACGGACUUAGUGAUCCGGUGGUUCCGCAUGGAAGGGCCAUCGCUCAACGGAUAAAAGCUACCCCGGGGAUAACAGGCUUAUCUCCCCCAAGAGUUCACAUCGACGGGGAGGUUUGGCACCUCGAUGUCGGCUCAUCGCAUCCUGGGGCUGUAGUCGGUCCCAAGGGUUGGGCUGUUCGCCCAUUAAAGCGGUACGCGAGCUGGGUUCAGAACGUCGUGAGACAGUUCGGUCCCUAUCCGUCGUGGGCGUAGGAAAUUUGAGAGGAGCUGUCCUUAGUACGAGAGGACCGGGAUGGACAUACCUCUGGUGUACCAGUUGUCGUGCCAACGGCAUAGCUGGGUAGCUAUGUGUGGACGGGAUAAGUGCUGAAAG